rnacentral:lncRNA from 1 species
UCAAUCAAUACCAAAAUAAGAUUAAGAGAUAUAAAAUAUGAACCUGAAACAACAAGCCUUUUGAUUAACUUCGAAAGGUGAAUACAAGUGGAGUCCGACAACGAGAAUUGAAGCAAGCAGCAACUGGAACUCGAACACAAAGUGGACUGAAUUGGCUCGGCAAGAACGGAACCGCGAAUGAACCUCGAUUUGCUAAUUGAAGCAAGCAGCAACUGGAAUUCGAACACAAAGUGGACAGAAUUUGCUUGGAAAGAACGGAACCGCAAAUGAACCUCGAUUUGCAAGCAACGAGCAGCUCGAUCAACC